CCUACGGGAGGCAGCAGUGGGGGAUAUUGCACAAUGGGGGGAACCCUGAUGCAGCGACGCCGCGUGGGUGAAGAAGCGCCUCGGCGCGUAAAGCCCUGUCAGCAGGGAAGAAAAUGACGGUACCUGAAGCAGAAGCACCGGCUAACUACGUGCCAGCAGCCGCGGUAAUACGUAGGGGGCAAGCGUUAUCCGGAUUUACUGGGUGUAAAGGGGGCGCAGACGGCGAUGCAAGCCAGGAGUGAAAGCCCGGGGCCCAACCCCGGGACUGCUCGUGGAACUGCGUGGCUGGAGUGCAGGAGGGGCAGGCGGAAUUCCUGGUGUAGCGGUGAAAUGCGUAGAGAUCAGGCGGAACACCGGUGGCGAAGGCGGCCUGCUGGACUGCAACUGACGUUGAGGCCCGAAAGCGUGGGGAGCAAACAGGAUUAGAUACCCCAGUAGUC
rnacentral:rRNA from 1 species